CAGCAGUGGGGGAAUUUUGCAGAAUGCGGCAACGCUGGAGGCGAUCGAGGAUGCAUGAAGAGGGCCUUCGGGUUGUAAAGUACUUUACAGUCGGGAAGAAAUUCAGGUGGUCGCUUAGUACGUACCUGAAGAAGAAGCACCGGUACACUACACCCAUAACU
rnacentral:rRNA from 1 species